CUCCAGUCCUCAGGCCCACCCAGCCUGAAUCCAACACAACUGAAGAAUAUGCAAGCUUGCACAGUUCUGGCUAUUUUGACUGCCUGGGCGGAAGACAAAUUAGGCCAGCUACCGGUUUGCUGUCACUGGCUGUUUGCUGCUUGAAGGUGAAUAUUUUGCUGUUGUUUAGAAGCAUGGAUGGAAACGACUGAUAAUCCCCCAAAGACAACAGAAAGCAAAAUGGGGGUGUGUUGCGCUGUGGCGGUAAUCUACGGUACACUGAAGAGCGUGAACUCUGCCACAGGCCAGUAUCUUGGGCAUUUUGCCCAAGAGGUCUGCUUUCAGCGCUCUGGGCGGAGGGUGGCACUCUCAAAACAGCUAGUGGAGUGACCAGCCUCCCUCCCAGUGUUUGGCAGACUUUCCCAGCUUCCAGUUCCAGCGGAGUUUUGAGCCCAUUCAAGAAUUCCAUCUCACAGAGAGUGUUUCCGAUACAGUCAUUUGAUCAGUCAGCGUUUGCCCAUGCACCUGCUAAGCAACUGGUCGAGAGCCACAGAGCCACGUCCCCCCAUCCUCCACCGGUAAUCCGAAGGACUCUUGCACACACGGCGGAGCGGCUGAGAUGCAAAGAACGAGCCAAAGGUCCAGGCUGCAGCCUGAGGUCAGGCUUCAAGUGUAGAGGCAAGGCGUCAACAUUCAGCACAGCAAAACCGAGGAGCCUCCGUCAAACAUCACAGUGCCAUCUGGCCAUCCCGAGAAAGGCUUCGCUUUCACAUUAAAAAUAUUGUGUUACUGUGUACCCUGGAAUGUCAAACAUACCUCUUGUUUUAUCAAAACACUCUUUAGAGGGGGAAAUAUCUAGCUAACGACCUGCCUGUCAAGAGGUAUUGCUCAAAAUAAAAGAAGUUCCAACAUUUACUGAGAAUCUAUUAUUUUACAGUUGUG